rnacentral:pre_miRNA from 1 species
UUAACCCAUUUAACAACUCAGUCCAUCAAAUUAAAUGAGUUAUGGUUGACCCAACUCAUUUAACAAAAUGAGUUGGGUCAACCAUAACUCAUUUAACCCUAAACUCAUUUGAUUAUGAGU